AAUCAACGCUGGCGGCGUGCCUCAGACAUGCAAGUCGAACGAUUAAGACUCCCUUCGGGGAGUGCAUAAAGUGGCGCACGGGUGAGUAACACGUAAGUAAUCUACCCUCGGGUGGGGAAUAACGUCCGGAAACGGACGCUAAUACCGCAUAAUGCAGCGGCACCGCAAGGUGACAGUUGUUAAAGAUUUAUUGCCUGGGGAGGAGCUUGCGGCAGAUUAGCUUGUUGGAAGGUAACGGCUUACCAAGGCUACGAUCUGUAUCCGGUCUAAGAGGACGGUCGGACACACUGACACUGAAUAACGGGUCAGACUCCUACGGGAGGCAGCAGUCGGGAAUUUUGGGCAAUGGGGGAAACCCUGACCCAGCAACGCCGCGUGAAGGAUGAAGUAUUUCGGUAUGUAAACUUCGAAAGAAUAGGAAGAAUUAAUGACGGUACUAUUUAUAAGGUCCGGCUAACUACGUGCCAGCAGCCGCCGUAAC
rnacentral:rRNA from 1 species